rnacentral:lncRNA from 1 species
CUGUUGAGAAACUCAGAGAAGCCCCGUGAAUGAGGAAAGUGGGUAAGGGGGCCCUCAAGAGGGGAGGCAGGAAUCUCACUUUAAUAAUAAUAAUAAUAAUAAUAUCAGCAAUAAUAAUCCCAUCAAUAAUAGCAGGUUACUGAGCCCUUACUGCAAUGCCAGCACCCAAACUCACACUUUAUAUACAUUAUUUCAUUUAAUCCUUUAAACAGCUGUGUGAUGUGAUUAUUGGUAUUUGCUUUUCUUAAAGAGGAAACACAUUUAGAGACCUUAAGUCUCUUGCCCAAGGCAACUCAGAGGGAGAGCCAGGACUCAAACUCAGCCUCUCAAAGACCACGGCGAAGGCCCCUGUGGAUGCCAGAGCCAAGGGCCGCUCCUGUGUUGCCAGCAGGAAUCAUGGUCUCUUCAAGGUCAGACACCCUCUCCCACCAUGUCCCCAAGGUGCUUGGCCUGGGACAGCCCUGCGCGGAAGGUAGAGAAGGGGGAGUGAUGGCGUUGGAAUCCACUCCACGUCCUGCUGUGUGACUUCUUUAGGCCUCAGGGGCCUCAGCCAGGAAACGGGACCAUGAAGAGCCUUCUCACGGGGCUGUUGUGCAGGUACAGGGGCUCACGGGCGAGAAGCGGGCACUGCACCGAGGGUUCAGGACCCUGAACGGGCUCCAUAAGCGAGGGCGCCACCUCCCCGGACGGCUAUGCCUGACCAUCCCCGUUGGAAGCAGGACUUUCAUUUUCUUCUUACCCACACCACCCCGUUCUUUCUCUUCACAAGCACUCAGCCCAGUUUGUAAUUAGAUGAGUUUGUUUACUUGUCCUUGAGAGCAGGGACCGUCUCGUUUCCCACUUCUCCAUCCCGAGCACCAAGAGCAGGAGCACAGAAAACACUGAACGGACCUGCCCCGUCCUCUGCAGGCGGAGCGGGACUAGGGUUUUCUGCCGUUUCUCAGCGGACUUGGCUUUCAGAGCCCUGGAGAGUCCUCGCCUCCACCCCCCAGAGAUGACCCUGCCGCUGGCGCUGGCGUAACUGGGAAGGGCUGGAUACUCUCUGCAGACACAGAGGAAGCUGGGGCAGAACGACUGGGGGGGGGGCAAGGCUGGGUCUCACACUCAC